UGGGGAAUAUUGCACAAUGGGGGAAACCCUGAUGCAGCGACGCCGCGUGAGCGAAGAAGGCUUUCGAGUCGUAAAGCCCUGUCCUAUGAGAAGAUAAUGACGGUCUCAUAGGAGGAAGCCCUGCCUAAAUACGUGCCAGCAGCCGCGGUAAUACGUAUGGGGCGAGCGUUGUCCGGAAUUAUUGGGCGUAAAGGGUACGUAGGCGGUUUUUUAAGUCAGGUGUCAAAGCGUGGAGCUUAAAUCCAUUAAGCACUUGAAACUGAAAGACUUGAGUGAAGGAGAGGAAAGUGGAAUUCCUAGUGUAGCGGUGAAAUGCGUAGAUAUUAGGAGGAAUACCGGUGGCGAAGGCGACUUUCUGGACUUUUACUGACGCUCAGGUACGAAAGCGUGGGGAGCAAACAGG
rnacentral:rRNA from 1 species